GACGAACGCUGGCGGCGUGCCUAAUACAUGCAAGUCGAACGCAGUGGGGACGGGUGAGUAACACGUGGGUAACCUCCCAUCAGAGGGGAAAAAACUUGGAAACAGGUGCUAAACCGAUACUGAUGGAUGGUCCCGCGGUGCAUUAGCGAGUUGGUGAGGUAACGGGGCACCAAGGCCACGAUGCAUAGCCGACCUGAGAGGGUGACCGGCCACGCUGGGACUGAGACACGGCCCAGACUCCUACGGGAGGCAGCAGUGGGGAAUCUUCGGCAAGGGACGAAAGUCUGACCCAGCAACGCCGCGUGAGUGAAGAAGGUGUUCGGGUCGUAAAGCACUGUUGUUAGGGAAGCGGUAACUAACCAGGAAGCCACGGCUAACUACGUGCCAGCAGCCGCGGUAAUAC
rnacentral:rRNA from 1 species